AUUGAACGCUGGCGGCAUGCCUUACACAUGCAAGUCGAACGGCAGCACGGGGCAACCUGGUGGCGAGUGGCGAACGGGUGAGUAAUGCAUCGGAACGUACCUUUCAGUGGGGGAUAACGUAGCGAAAGUUACGCUAAUACCGCAUAUUCUGUGAGCAGGAAAGCAGGGGAUCGCAAGACCUUGCGCUGAUUGAGCGGCCGAUGUCAGAUUAGGUAGUUGGUGAGGUAAAGGCUCACCAAGGCGACGAUCUGGAGCGGGUCUGAGAGGAUGAUCCGCCACACUGGAACUGAGACACGGUCCAGACUCCUACGGGAGGCAGCAGUGGGGAAUUUUGGACAAUGGGGGCAACCCUGAUCCAGCCAUGCCGCGUGAGUGAAGAAGGCCUUCGGGUUGUAAAGCUCUUUCGGCCGGGAAGAAAUCGCACGGGCUAAUACCCUGUGUGGAUGACGGUACCGGAAUAAGAAGCGCCGGCUAACUACGUGCCAGCAGCCGCCGUAACAC
rnacentral:rRNA from 1 species